rnacentral:sRNA from 1 species
UUCGUUCCUCCCACGCGUAGCCCCGGAA